UAUCUUCAGGGCGAGGUGUGAUUCCUCACCGGCGGUAAAGUCCGCGAGUUCUUAUAAUAAGAACCGAUUCGGUGUAAUUCCGAAACCGACAGUAAAGUCUGGAUGGAAGAAGAUU
rnacentral:ncRNA from 1 species